rnacentral:lncRNA from 1 species
CUGGGAGUAGUAGCUGGGGGGCAAGAGCAAAUAAAGAGCUCGAGCUUCUGUGGUCUCUGGGGAGAUGUUCCCGGGAAGCCUGUCUAGAGGGCGGAGGGCAGCUGUUGAGAUGGCGUGGCUCCCCGGCUCCUGCGCCCGCGUGGCUUUCGCGGCGGGCGCUGCGGCCCGGUAUUGGACAGCCUGGCAGGGCAGCGCGGGGCCGAAUCCGGCUGCCGUGGCUGAGGCUCAUGGAUCACUCUUUUGUGGUAGGGCCACAUCUGCCAGAGCCUGGAGUCUGCGAAGGCCGGGACCCGGUUCCCCGGCCCACAGUGGGGGUGUGCAAACCCGAGAGAACUGGUCGCUGAAACCUCUACAACUUAGUUGACCGUAACUGCCAGAGCCCUGCCCUGAAUUCCUGUCCUUACUCCCUCUUUAAGAUUGCGUACCCACUGCAGAGUGCUGAAGACGGGGUAGCCACGAGGUUGCAAAUUCGUGAAGAAUCAGCAUCAUGUUUGGCAGCUGAGUAUUGGAGCCAGGAGCCUGCCAUGAGGUUUUGAGAACAGAGUGCUGUUUUAGAGCUGGCAGCAGCAUCUCAGCCCAAGAGAAGGUUAUAUUCCCAGAGGAUGUCAGUCCCAAGGACCAGUAGCUGCCAUCAGUUUGGAUUCUGAAAACUAACUGGCAUCAACACUGGGUGUAGAAACAUGCUUGCCUUAUGUAUCAGAGGACAUGCUCAGCAGAUCCA